rnacentral:rRNA from 1 species
GGUAAUACGUAGGCGACGAGCGUUACCCGGAUUCACUGGGCGUAAGGGGGUCGUCAGGCGACUCAGUGUGUCGGGUGUGAAAUCCCACUGCGUCAACCGUGGAAUUGCGCCCGAAACUACUGGGUUUGGGGCUGGUAGAAGGAGAAGGAACUGGUGGAGUAGGGAUGAAAUCAGUAGAUAUCAGCAGGAACACCGGUGGGGAAGCCGUUCUCCUGGGUCAUGCCCGACGAUGAGGCCCGAAAGCUAGGGGAGCAAACCGGAGUAUAGAUACCCGGGUAGUCCUAGCCGUAAACGAUGCCCACGAGGUGUGGGGGAGUCAUACCUCCGUGCUGCAGCUUAACGCGUUAAGUGAGCCGCCUGGG